ACGAAACCUUCCAUUAUAAGUAUAAUGAAGUAUAAAAGUAACUAAAUGUUUUCAUAAAAUUCCCAAUCUUAGUUACUUAGGCAAAAGUGAAUUGAUGCAAUUCCAUGAAAUUACACUUUGUGCCCUUGCGAAGACGUUAGUGGAGCGUGUGUGGUUUACCGGCACACUAAAUGGUUCUAAGCAAAGGUAGCAAAGGGUGACUCAAUGUUUGUCAUAGUUCGGUGGAGCGUGUGUGGUUUACCGGCACAUCGAAUAGGUGACUGUAACAUGUGGGGGCACCAUGUAGUUUGCAUGGUUAUUCACACCCGCUUUGUGAUCCUCGGCAUCCCAGUCACAAACAAGAGGGGCAUAUCGAGAUUUAAACAUGCCAUUGAAAUGUUCAAUGAAUCUCAAAGGAUCUAGGAGUUUUCAUAGAUUUAAAACUUAAAUUUCUUUUUCGUUUUUCAUGGUGGAAAUUAGUGAAUCGUCAUUCACUUACCUUCAAAUGUUCUGCAAUUUGGGUUACGGCAUCCCUCUCCCGAGUUGUAGAAUAUUGUGUUGGGUCCUAGCCUUAGUAUCUCAUUUGGGUGAUUUACUAAGGACUCAAUCAAUCAACUAACUUGAAUUCGUUUUCUCCCAUUUUGUAGAUGUCAAAGUUCAAAAACUAUGGUCUUCCCAAAUCCCAUGGAACAAGCAUUCCACAUGAAGAUGGUAUUUCACGAUUCGAUCGAGGAACAAGAAAUCAUGCUUCACUUCCUCCACCUCCUCCAAUUGUUCUCCCUAACCCACAAUAUCGAAGAAUUGAAAGGUUCAAUAUCUCUAAAUCCCUAUUGGAAAUGACACAUGAAGAUGGUAAACCCGUGUGUGCCCAUGUUCUAGAAAUGAAAUCACACAUUGAUAGGUUGAUAAUGUUGGGUGUGUCAUUCCCGGAUGAGUUGGCUGUGAAUUGGGUUUUGCAGUCACUUCCUGAAUCGUAUAAUGAGUUCAAAAGAAAGUAUUAUAUGAUGGAUCAUGAAGACAACCUCAUUAAUGUAACUUACAUGCUCAUUGCUGCUGAAUCAAAAAUGAUUUGGCGAAACAAUGGAGCGUAUUUGUUGGGAAAGUCAACCGACCAUGCUUCCGAGGACGUUCUAGGAGAACCGAACUGCGUUUGCUGCCAAAAGAAAGGGCGUCAGAUACAAGUCUGCCCAAGGAGCCUGAAGAGUCCAGAAGAUGGGAGAGUCAANAGUUCAAAAGAAAGUAUUAUAUGAUGGAUCAUGAAGACAACCUCAUUAAUGUAACUUACAUGCUCAUUGCUGCUGAAUCAGAAAUGAUUUGGCGAAGCAAUGGAGCGUAUUUGUUGGGAAAGUCAACCGACCAUGCUUCCGAGGACGUUCUAGGAGAACCGACCUGCGUUUGCUGCCAAAAGAAAGGGCGUUGGAUACAAGUCUGCCCAAAGAGCCUGAAGAGUCCAAAAGAUGGGAGAGUCAAAGAGUAUGGUUGUGCUUCAGGUAAAAUCCACUAUCUAACUCCAUUAAGUUCCUAUUCAUUAAUUCUUAAUACAUAAUGUAAUAAGAUUGCAUUUGAAUGUUUUACAGGAUCGGUGAAAAGAAAGGAAGCUUGGUGAAAGAGCAAGAUGAAUCUAAUCACAAGGAAUGGAUCUUGAUCGCAUGGACUUGAAGAUUAGAUUUUGAGCUUAGAUAGUUAUGAUAGAGUUGUUAGAAAUUUUCUUUUUGAAAUACAUAGUUUUCAACGGAUUUUGCAUUGUAAGGACAAAUGUUUUCCGCUGCAUUUAUGAAUAAAAUAAAUUUUGUUUUGACUUAUUUAUUUAUUUGUCUAUUCCUUACAAUGAAAUCAUUAAGAAAAAUUGAUGUUUGCAUAUUUCUACAACGAGUGGAUAUGAUUCUUGUUUAUGAUGUUUAUGGAAAAGUCGAGAAUUUACCAAAUAGGGAGAGUUUCUCAUCGCCCAAGUUUCAAUUGGACAGAAACUUGGAAUCAUGCAACUUGGUUGCACGAUGAAUGAGAAAUUUAAUAUUUGGAAAUUAUACUAAUUCAUUGUCAAAGUGUCAAGUG
rnacentral:lncRNA from 1 species